GGUUCACCUGGUCCUGGGCCUUUAAAAGCUGCCUGCAGGAGUGACGAGACAUGUGGAGCCAGGGACUGCUGCCUCUUCAGGACCUUUUAUAGAUGAUCUACACCCACCGUUACAACCCUCUGCUCCAGUUCUUCUACCUUGGCCGUGGUUUCCUCCUGCUCCGUGGUUCUUCUGUCGAGUUGUUCUGAAAAUCAAAAGAUGAAUGUUGAAAUAUCUGACGAAAUGUGAGUUUCUGUUUCAAACAACACCAGAACAUCUUCUUACCCUGAAGGGUUUCCAUGGAGUGGGUGAGCUCGGCACAGUGUUUCUCUCUCUCGCUGCUCUCGUCUCUCAGCCGAGUCAGCCGAGUCUCUACAGACCGCAUCGUGUCCACGAACGCAGAGAGGUCAGCGGGGACGGACUCUUCCUCUGCAGCCUCAACAUCUUCCUCAGUUAGAGAUCGAAGCUGUUUCCAGACACCAGCCAACAUUUCGCUCUUCUUCAGGGCGUCUUCGUGUUCCUCUCUGAGUGAAGCCAACUCUCGCUGGAGUUUAUCUGACUCUGGCGUCUCCUGGCCGGCGCUGUCGCCUGCCUCUCUCAUGGAUGUGAGUUCACUUUCAAGCCGAACUAUUUCCGCUCUGUCUCUCUCUGAAGCAUCACCGCUCGCAAGCUCAGCCUCCUUCAUCAGACCCAGAUCUCUCUCCAACCUGGCAACUUCCAUCUUUUCCUUCUCCAGAACGUCCAUACUCACGAGCUCCGCCUCCCUCAGUGACACCACUUCGCCCUGCAGCCUCGCCACCUCCAUGUUUGUUCUGUCCAAAGCCUCCAGGCUGCUUCGGAGGUCUGCAUCGGUUCUGCUCGCCCGUUCGGCCCACUGCUGCCUCUCCUCCUCCCUCUGCUUGAAGGCCUCAGAAAGCUCCUGCUCCAUCUGCCGGAACUGAGCUGUCAGUAUCUGAGAAGAGAGAGAGAGAGAGAAGGAGGAUGUGAGCGGGGUGUGUGCUGUGUGGCUCAGCCAAACAAGGCCUUAAGAUGACGUGCCGUGGAGCUGUGGGGUGUGUCUGUUUGAGGAGUUUUGUAUUCAUCAAGCCAGAGAGGUAUUCAAGACAUCAUCUGUAAAUAUCUGCCGGUAUCUGAAGCAGUCUCUGAGCACACAUACAUUCAGUCUCUGAACAAACAGUGUUUAAGAGCAACAGGAUCUGUACCUGUUUCUGCUGAUCAGCACUGCUCACUUCUUCCUGCAGCAUCUCCAGAACCUGAGCUCGAGAGUUUAGUGCCUCUUUGAGCUCCUCGCAUUGCCGCUGUGAUGCAUGAAGAGCCUGGAGAAGGAGAGACAGAGGGCAUGAGACCACAAAAGAGGCAAAUCCCAGGAGUGCAUGCCUGGGUGUAACCUGACAUUCGACUUAGUUGAAUCCUGUGUACCAGUUAGACGAGACCUGCUUGUGUUACACGUGGGUGUAACUUGUUACUUUUACACCGAGGAAGGAGCAGACAGUGAACACAUCACAACACAACCUCAUGUCACCUGUUUAUCUAGCUAAUGGGCUUUUAUCCUGCAGGUUUCAUCACAGAUUACAACACUAGGUUGAUUUUAACUAUCAGGACUUGCUACAAAGUUUGGGUGGGGCUACACGGCUGCUUUGAGGAAGAGGAAGAUGAUGCAUAACUCUGAUCACUGCAAAAACCCAAAACUAAGCAAGUGUUUCAUCAGACUUAAUCUAAGCCACAUUUUCUUUGCACAUACAGACUCAAAAUUCUAAUUUGAAGUCUGGAGUCCAGAUCUUCUUACACUGGCACAAACUGGAGUUAUUUAUUGAAACGUAUUUAAUCGUUUUUAUUGGUUGUUUGUUUUCUGAUAUGCCUUAAACAUGGAAUCUAGACCAUAAAGAAGUCUGCUAUGUGUUCUUUAAUGUUACAUCUGUUUUGUAAUUCUGUAUGUCAUGAUCUGAUAUCUCACUGGCAGCAAAACAAAUUUACCUACGGGUACAAAUAAAGCAACCUGAACCAGAAA